rnacentral:antisense_RNA from 1 species
CUUGAGCGCGCCCAGCCACAACGGCCGGUCGUCCGCCCGCUCCCGCCCGUACGCGUUGAUCAGGGCCUGGGCCUC